UACGGAGGGUGCAAGCGUUAUCCGGAUUUAUUGGGUUUAAAGGGUCCGUAGGCGGAUCUGUAAGUCAGUGGUGAAAUCUCACAGCUUAACUGUGAAACUGCCAUUGAUACUGCAGGUCUUGAGUAAAGUAGAAGUGGCUGGAAUAAGUAGUGUAGCGGUGAAAUGCAUAGAUAUUACUUAGAACACCAAUUGCGAAGGCAGGUCACUAUGUUUUAACUGACGCUGAUGGACGAAAUCGUGGGGAGCGAACAGG
rnacentral:rRNA from 1 species